rnacentral:rRNA from 1 species
CCCUAGUAACUGCGAGUGAAGCGGGAAAAGCUCAAAUUUAAAAUCUGGCGGUCUUUGGCUGUCCGAGUUGUAAUCUAGAGAAGUGUUAUCCGCGCUGGACCGUGUACAAGUCUCCUGGAAUGGAGCGUCAUAGAGGGUGAGAAUCCCGUCUUUGACACGGACUGCCAGGGCUUUGUGAUGCGCUCUCAAAGAGUCGAGUUGUUUGGGAAUGCAGCUCAAAAUGGGUGGUAAAUUCCAUCUAAAGCUAAAUAUUGGCGAGAGACCGAUAGCGAACAAGUACCGUGAGGGAAAGAUGAAAAGAACUUUGGAAAGAGAGUUAAACAGUACGUGAAAUUGCUGAAAGGGAAACGCUUGAAGUCAGUCGCGUUGGCCGGGGAUCAACCUUGCUUUUGCUGGGCGUACUUCCCGGUUAAUGGGUCAGCAUCAAUUUUGACCGUUGGAUAAAGGUCAGGGGAAUGUGGCAUCUUCGGAUGUGUUAUAGCCCUUGGUCGCAUACAACGGUUGGGAUUGAGGAACUCAGCACGCCGCAAGGCCGGGUAUUUAUACUACGUUCGUGCUUAGGAUGCUGGCAUAAUGGCUUUAAUCGACCCGUCUUGAAACACGGACCAAGGAGUCUAACAUGCCUGCGAGUGUUUGGGUGGAAAACCCGAGCGCGUAAUGAAAGUGAAAGUUGAGAUCCCUGUCGUGGGGAGCAUCGACGCCCGGACCAGACCUUCUGUGACGGAUCCGCGGUAGAGCAUKUAUGUUGGGACCC